UUUUGUUUGUAGUAUACCCCUUUAUCAUCUUUUGUAUUUGAUAAUUUAAGAUGUUGAUGUAUAAAGCAAAGAAAGAAAAGAUUGUAAAGUUUAUUUUGAGACAUUGUGAUGUAAAAAGAAAUGAUGCAAGUGAUGUAAUGAAAUGUAAAGAAUCAUGAAUAUGAAGGUUAAAUGCAAUGUAUGUGAUCAAAAGAGAAUUAUUGUACUUGUGUAGAUGUUUAGUUUCCUUUCUUUCACUCAUGGCUAUUGCUUACCCUCGUGUAAGCCGUUUGUGUAUGUUUCUGCUAGUGCACUUCUUGUUUGAAAAUAUACAGGUGAUGAGCCUUGGGCGGAUAGGAGAAACUCUGUCCGUUCGGCGUCUGUUUGACGUGCUCGGGCCGGCCCAAAUUGGUAUCGAUCCCGGGGCAUGACAGAUAUCGUGGUAUCAGAGACCAAGAGUGAAAGAAUAGGAAUGAACUUAGAGACCCUUAGGAUUGGAAGACCUCAAGGAUCUAGGAAACGUGAGUGACGCGGAAUCGAAGUUAGCGAAAGCAUGUGAUUGGGUUAAGUUGGGAUGUCUCUAAUGUGAUUAGAGGCUAAGUUUAAUUUUCAUUUGUUUCCUACUCCUUGUUUUGUGUCGGGCGGCCGACGACAUGAUGCUUGGGGCGAGAAUGAAUGCAUAAGUUGCUUUCACCGAGUAAUAUUGGUCAAGUAGCUAAUGCGAGUUGCUUCUUUUCAGGAAGCAAUGGCACCUCAUGGUCGACCGCAAACAAGGUCGAUGCCUGAGGAGUCGAAUGUGGCGCCCGAGCGAUCUGGAGCGAGUGGCGACGGAGAGCUUAGGGAGCAGAUGGCCGCGCUUAUCGGCGUAGUGCGGUAGCAAGCGGAGUCUGUUCAACGUCAAGGGGAGCAGAUUCAGCUGCUCUAAGAGGCUUUGGAGUGUCAGCAAGCGGCGGCUCGGGCAGGUGUCGAGCAUGUCGCGCCCUCUGUGGUAGUGCCGAGCGUGGACGAGGGAGCGGCGGCAGCAGCGGCUGUUCCAGUUACGGUAGUACUGGCCAGAUCGGGAACCUCAAAUCCCGAUAGUGCGGCGAUAGAGGCGGAGCGGGAGAGCACGUUGGCGGCUCUCAUAAAGUUUAAGAAGUUCGACCCACCUACCUUCGAUGGCGGUUUGGUGGAGCCAGCGGUUGUGGAGUCGUGGAUCGACUCGAUGGAGACGCUCUUCGAGGAUCUCAAUACCUCGGAGAAGGACAAAGUGUACCUUGCCACCCAUUGUCUUGAGAAGAUGGCGAUGGUGUGGUGGAAACGAGUUAAGCGGGAUCGACCUACCGAUCUUCCGCUUAUGUUAUGGGAGGAGUUCAAGAGAGCAGUCUUCGCGAACUACUUCCCCGACACGGUGAAGCGGAGGUUGCAAGAAAAGUUUCACAAGUUGAGACAGGGUGACCGAUCGGUGGGAGAAUAUGAGCAAGAGUUCUCUUACAUUAUCGACUGCGUUCCCAAUGUUGUUCGAGAUGAUCGGGAUCGGGUUGAUUGGUUCAUACGAGGACUCCAGCCGAGGAUAUAUGAAAAGAUGCAGAUUCUGAAGCUAACGACCUUUGCGGAGGUCUUUGAUAGAGCAUUGUGGGCGGAGCACGGUAGCGCUCACGUUCGAGAGGAACGGGAGGCUAUGGCCGAAGGCAAGGAUAAGGGCAAGAAGCGAGCGGUGGGUGGUGCCAGAGGCCGGCCAAACUCAAAGAAACCCCCUCGGUAUCCCCGGCAGUAGUCGAGGAAUUGGAGACCACCUCGGUGCGUUAUUUGCGGCGGAGCGCACCGAGUGUCGACUUGCCCGCAGCGUGAUGGCAAGUGUUUCAAGUGUGGCCAACCGGGACAUCUUAUCCAGGAGUGCCCGAGCUGGACGUCGUCUGCGCCGACGGCGGCAUCAGCACCAUCUACCCCGAGACAGCUUGCGGGGUUGCCACCAGCGAUGUUGGCUGGGUGCGUGUCGUCACCGCGUCAGCCGGAGGGAUCGAGAGCGCCUAGCGGCCGAGUCUUUGCCGCUCAGGUGGAGGAGCAGCAACCUGCAGCACCCGACGACGUCGUGGCAAGUAUAAUUGUGAUUAAAGGCAGUAGAGCUAGAGCAAUAUUUGAUACAGGCGCAUCUAAUUCAUUCAUUAGCAUAUCAUUUGCUAAAACUCAUGGCAUAGAGAUGGUAUACAACGAGGAUUAUUGGUGGGUGAACGCCCCAGAACAUUCAUUCAGUGUCCACAAUGAGUGUUUGGCGUGUCCAGUGCAAAUAGGCGAUUGGAUUAUGCCGAUUGAUCUGCUAGUGCUAGAUCAGAUGUGGGGAUUCGAUGUUAUCUUAGGGACCAACUGGCUCUCUAAAUACUAUGCGGUUAUAGAUUGUGAAAGCAAGGUGAUCACUUUUCGUGAGCCUAAUCAAGAAGAAUUGGUGUACCAAGCAUGUAAAAGUAGGCGCUUCGCGGCGACCAUAUCGUCUGUAAGGGCGAAGAAAAUGAUCAAAGGAGGGUGUAAGGCCUAUUUAGCAACCAUGGUGGAUGCUCGAAAGGAGUACCCAGAGUUGGGGGAUAUUCGAGUAGUGUGCGAAUACCCGGAUGUGUUUCCGGCGGAGUUUUCGGGACUGCCACCGGACCGGAAAGUUGAGUUCGUCAUUGACUUGAUUCCCGGGGCGACGCCAGUUUCGAAAGCUCCGUAUAGAAUGGCACCGGUGGAGCUAAAGGAGUUGAAAGGCCAACUACAAGACUUGCUCGAUAAGGGCUUCGUGAGGCCGAGCGUGUCACCGUGGGGAGCUCCGGUGCUAUUUGUGAAGAAAAAGGAUGGCACACUUCGACUCUGCGUUGAUUAUCGUGAGUUGAACAAAGUAAUGAUAAAGAACAAGUACCCGUUGCCGAGGAUUGAUGAUUUAUUCGAUUAGUUGCAAGGGUCCAAGGUGUAUUCAAAGAUUGAUCUCCAAUCGGGGUAUCAUCAACUAAAGAUUAGGCCGAAGGAUGUGCACAAAACGGCGUACCGUACGCGUUAUGGCCAUUAUGAAUUCACGAUAAUGCCGUUUGGGCUUACUAACGCCCCGGCAGCAUUUAUGGACUUAAUGAACCGAGUCUUCAUGCCGCUGUUGGACCAGUGCGUCGUGGUGUUUAUAGACGACGUAUUGGUUUACUCGAGAAGUGAAGAGGAGCACGAAGAGCAUCUGAGAGCUGUGUUGCAAAUACUCAGACAGGAGAAGCUCUAUGCAAAGUUGAAGAAGUGUGACUUUUGGCUAAAGGAGGUCAUAUUCUUGGGUCAUGUGGUAUCGGGCAACGGAGUGUCAGUAGACAGGAAGAAAGUAGAGGCAAUAAAGGAUUGGCCUCGCCCGACGAAUGUAGCGGAGGUCCGCAAUUUUCUCGGACUCGCGGGCUAUUACCGGCGGUUUGUGGAGGGGGGUUCGCCAAAAUAACCACUCCACCAACGCGCCUUACCCAUAAAAGAGUAAAGUAUGUUUGGAGUGACGAUUGCGAUCGAAGCUUCGAAGAGUUGAAGAACAGGUUGACGUCGACCCCGGUGCUUGCCUUGCCGACUCCGGGGGAGACCUUUGUAGUGUAUAGUGAUGCCUCUUAUGUUGGUCUCGAGUGUGUGUUAAUGCAAAAUAGACGAGUUAUUGCAUAUGCAUCGUGCCAAUUAAAGAGUUAUGAGAAGAACUACCCGAUUCACGACUUCGAGUUAGCCGCGGUGAUUUUCGCGCUAAAGCUUUGGAGGCAUUACUUAUAUGGUGAGCAUUGCGAGGUCUACACAGAUCAUAAAUGUCUAAAGUACUUGUUCACCCGAAGGAAUUGAACAUGCGGCAGCGGCGGUGGUUGGAGUUGUUGAAGGACUACGAUGUCACUCUACUAUACCACCCCGGGAAAGCCAAUGUCGUGGCCGAUGCUCUAAGUAGAAAAUCGGCGGAGAACUUAGCGAUGGCGAUUACGCCUCAACCGCUAUUGCAAAAGGAGAUGCAAAGGCUUGGGUUGGAAGUGGUAGCGCAGGGAGUGCCGGCUACACUUGCCGCAUUAGUUCUGCAACCGACCCUAUUUGAAAGGAUCAAGGAACUACAAGCCUCGGAUCCUUAUUUUCAAAAGAUACGAGGAGAAGUUGAAAAUAGCAAUGCCGAAGACUUUGGCAUUGGAGCUGAUGGCACACUUUGAUUUCGAAAUCGAUGGUAUGUGCCUAAAGAUGAUGAGUUACGAAGGGCGAUCAUGCAAGAACACACCAAUUCCCUUAUAGUAUACACCCCGACGGUACUAAAAUGUAUAGGGAUUUGAAAGAGCAUUAUUGGUGGCCGGGUAUGAAGAAGGAUAUUGGGGAGUUUGUGGCGCAAUGUUUAACGUGCCAACAGGUGAAAGCAGAGCGCCGAUUUCCGGCGGGAAAGCUACAAAGUCUAUCAAUACCCGUUUGGAAAUGGGAAGAUAUAGCGAUGGACUUUAUUACCGGUUUGCCUCGAUCACAAGGCGGACACGAUGCGAUAUGGGUCAUAGUGGAUCGAUUGGCAAAGUCGGCACACUUCUUGUCGAUACAUACUACGUGGUCGGGAGACAAGUUAGCUCAAGUUUAUCUCAACGAGGUUGUGAGACUUCAUGGGGUUCCGGUAUCAAUUGUAUCGGAUCGAGACCCUAGGUUCACAUCCCACUUUUGGAAGAGCUUGCAGGACGCGUUGGGCACACGGCUCAACUUUAGCACAGCAUUUCAUCCUCAGAGUGAUGGACAGUCGGAGCGGAUAAUACAGAUCCUCGAGGACUUGCUUCGAGCGUGUGUGCUAUAUUACAAAGGAGGAUGGCAUGAUUUCUUGCCGAUGGCGGAGUUCGCGUAUAAUAACAGUUAUCAAGAGAGUAUAGCGAUGGCGCUAUUUGAGGCACUAUAUGGUCGAAAGUGUCGUUCUCCUAUCCAUUGGAGCGACGUGGGUGAGAGAACGGCUCUUGGCCCGGAUGUAGUGUGGGAGGCGGAGGAGAAAGUUCACCUUGCCCGUCAACGGUUGGCGAUGGCGCAAUCUCGGCAAAAGAGUUAUGCCGACAAGCGGAGGAAAGACUUAGAGUUCGCGGUUGGAGACCGCGUAUUUUUUAGAGUAUCGCCGAUGCGAGGAGUAAAACGUUUUGGGGUUCGUGGGAAGCUAAGUCCCCGUUAUGUCGGACCAUUUGAGAUAUUGGAGCGUGUGGGUGCGGUAGCGUACAAGCUCGCACUACCACCGAGACUCGCGGGAGUUCACAACGUGUUUCAUGUGUCAAAUCUCCGAAAGUAUAUUCGCAACUCGACACAUGUGUUAGAGUACGAGCCCAUGGAGCUACGUGAAGAUAUGUCUUAUGAGGAGUACCCGGUGUGCAUCCUCGGUCUAGAAGAAAGGAAGCUGCGGAGUCGCAGAAUUCCAUAUGUGAAGGUCCAAUGGAGCAACUAUGCGGUGCGAGAAGCCACUUGGGAGCUUGAGGAAACUAUGCGGAGAGAGUAUUCGCAUCUAUUUGAGUCGACAAGUUAAGGUAUGCGUAAUUUCGCGGACGAAAUUAUUCUAAGGGGUGGAGAAUGUAAUAUACCGAAAAUUCGGAAGAUAAAUAUCGAACUUUAGUCAAAUUGACCAAAGUGCGAGGAUGGUACACUUCGGAAAGUCCGAAGGUGUUAAAAUGAUCAAAAGUGUGUUAUGGGAGGUUUUCGAGAGCUAAAGAAUAAAAAAUCUGCAAACUGCAGUUUUUGAGCUCUCUGGGACCGGUCCCUGGUGGGAGAGAUCGGUCCUCGAACGCGUGAGAAAUGAGAAAGGCUGAAAAUCGGCUAAGUUUCAGAAAACCAGCUCUUAGGAACCGGUCCCUGCAGGGAGAGACCGGUCCCCGAGAGACCGGCCCCCAGUGAGAGACCGGUUGCAUCGCGUGUGCGCCCUGCUGCCCGCGGGGAGAGUCCUCUGGGACCGGUCCCAAGUCGGGGAGACCGGUCCCCGAACACGAAAUCUGCCCAGUUCAGGCAGUGUAAUAAGAUAAAAGCUGAGGGGUUUAUUUGCAUUUAUGCAAUAUGUGGGUUAUGUUAUGAGGGGUUAUGGGAUAUUUCUCUCAUUUUCUCCCUCACACUUCCUCUCUUCUCUCUUUCUCUCUCUAGAAGACAAGAAGAAGAAGAAGAAGACAGAAAAGAAAGGAAAAGAAGAAGAAGAAAGUGGAGAAGAAGGAGUGAAAAAACUCCCUCUUCCUCAUCUCUAACUUGGAGGGAAAGCUUUGAGGUAAGUUUUGAUCCCUUUUAUGGUAAAACCUAAAAAUGAGAACCCAAUGACCUAAAAAUGGUUUUAAUUGAGCCUAAUAAGUGUUUUAAGCUUUCUUUUGCUUGUGGAUGAGAUCAAAACCGAGAAUUGAGUGUUGGAGGUGAAGCUUAGAGGAAAGCUUCAACCUCUCUCAUGGUAGAACCCAAACUAGGGUUUGGAUUAAGCUAAGAAUGGUUUUUAUGGAGUCUCUAGAGUAGAUUGAAGCUUCGUUUGCUUCCUAAUGAGAUCAAACCCUAGGUUUGAUAUAUGUUAUGAGCUAGGGCACCCAAAUUGGGGCUUUUGCUUGUGAGGGUUCUAAAAUGAAAUUGACCCUCUAGAAACCUAAUUGGGGGUAUUUCCGACGCUUUGGUGCGCUCAGAUUAACGUUACGAAAAGCCAAUGUAAAGAUAUGAGCAAAAUGGCUUAAUAGGGCUUCGUUUUGCCGCAAGUGACGAACUAGGAGUCUAAAAAUCCCAAGAAAAUUAUUGUAGCAUCCUAGUACGCCUACGAGGUGGGUGGUGCUAUCCAAACUUGUUGGAAUUCCUUCUAUGCUUAAUGUGUCAUUCAUUUGAGCAUAUGUUUAUAUUGUUGCAUGCAUUAUAGGGUAGAUGUGAUGUUAUAUAUGUGAAUGUUGUAUGAUGUGAGUACACGUGCUAUUUGAAAUGUUUGAGAACCUAUUCAACCCUAUAUGUAUGCAUGAGAUAUAAUGCGAGCACCCAAUGAGAUGAUAGAACAAGCGACACAAUAAAGCAUAGAUCGAGUGGCAUUCGAUAAUGUAAAGUAAAGUAACAUUAGAGUUAGUGUGUGUGGCAUUAAAGAGAAAUGUGAUGCAAAGAACAAUGAUAAUGAUUAGAGACAAAAGAAAGAAAAUGAAAGUGGCAUAAAGAACGAGUAAAGUUAAAGAAUAAUGAUUGUUAGAGUUAGCAAAAUAAAGUGAUGUAAAGAACACUAGAGUUAGUGUAAAAACAAUGAUUGAACUAUAUAUCCUUAGAGUUAAGGAUCGAUCAUACUUGCUAUGAGUUUCGUGCUCGAGGGCGGUAGCUCCCUCUCGAGCGAUGCGCUCCGGAGUUUUGCAUCACGGGUUGGAGUAAACCCGAGGACGGUCUUAGCGGGAGGCAGCUGAGGGCCCGCGAUGAUGGACUUAAUGUGGGCAAGUUAAUGUGGCGAAACCCCCGGGUUAGCUGUGAGAUUAAAGAACAAAGAACAAGAACAAAGAUUAAAGAAUAAAGAGUAAAGAACAAAGAACUUGCAUACUUGCAAGAUUUACAUUGAGCAUAUUUUUUGCUUUAUUGUUCGGACAUAUUAGCAUUAUGAUUAUAGUUGGUUACUAUUCUGCUUAUCCUUUCUAUUAUGUCUGAGUUAGUCCUAGUAGGAAAGUCGGUGAGAUUGUGGCCGAACCCACUGAGAACUUCGUUAUAGUUCUCACCCCACUAUUCCACAGAGCCGGGACCAAGCGAGUCGGCGAGCGACCGCGGUAAAGGUAUCGCACCCUAGACAGUGGCCACCCGAGUCGAGCUUUAUAUUUUGUUUGUAGUAUACCCCUUUAUCAUCUUUUGUAUUUGAUGAUUUAAGAUGUUGAUGUAUAAAGCAAAGAAAGAAAAGAUUGUAAAGUUUAUUUUGAGACAUUGUGAUGUAAAAAGAAAUGAUGCAAGUGAUGUAAUGAAAUGUAAAGAAUCAUGAAUAUGAAGGUUAAAUGCAAUGUAUGUGAUCAAAAGAGAAUCAUAAUACUUGUGUAGAUGUUUAGUUUCCUUUCUUUCACUCAUGGCUAUUGCUUACCUUUGUGUAAGCCGUUUGUGUAUGUUUUCGCUAGUGCACUUCUUGUUUGAAAAUGUACAGGUGAUGAGCCUUGGGCGGAUAGGGAAAACUCUGUCUGUUCGGCGUCUG
rnacentral:lncRNA from 1 species